rnacentral:rRNA from 1 species
CCUACGGGAGGCAGCAGUAGGGAAUUUUGCGCAAUGGGGGAAACCCUGACGCAGCAACGCCGCGUGAUCGAUGAAGCCCUUCGGGGUGUAAAGAUCUGUCAGUGGGGACGAAACCUGACGGUACCCACAGAGGAAGCACCGGCUAAAUCCGUGCCAGAAGCCGGGGUAAUACGGGGGGUGCAACCGUUGUCCGGAAUCAUUGGGCGUAAAGAGUUCGUAGGGGGCACGUUAGGUCUGGUGGUAAAGGCGGAAGCUGAACUUCCGUAGGGCACUGGAUACUGGCGAGCUUGAUUGGGGUAGAGGUAAAGGGAAUGCGUGGUGUAGCGGUGAAAUGCAUAGAUAUCAGGAGGAACAUCGGUGGCGUAAGCGCUUUACUGGGCCGUAAUUGACGCUGAGGAACGAAAGCCGGGGUAGCAAAUGGGAUUAGAUACCCCGGUAGUC